GCGAAAACUUUACAAUGCUGGCAACAGCGAUAAGGGAACCUCGAGUGCCAGGUUAAAAAUCUGGCUGUCGAGAUGCCUAAAAAGCAUUUCAUAGCAAGGAAAGGGCAAGACCGGUGCCAGCCGCCGCGGUAACACCGGCGGCUCGAGUGGUAACCGUUAUUAUUGGGUCUAAAGGGUCUGUAGCCGGCCGGAUAAGUCUCUUGAGAAAUCUGGCAGCUUAACUGUCAGGCUUUCAGGAGAUACUGUCUGGCUCGAGGCCUGGAGAGGUGAGAGGUACUUCAGGUGUAGGGGUGAAAUCUUUUAAUCCUUGAAGGACCACCAGUGGCGAAGGCGUCUCACCAGAACGGACCUGACGGCAAGGGACGAAAGCUAGGGGCACGAACC
rnacentral:rRNA from 1 species